AAGGGAGACCUAAUUCAGGUAUGGGACGAAAAAAAAGUAGUCGCUACCAAGAAUCAAUCCCAAAAGGUCGGAGCGAGGCGAAAUUGGCUUUCAAACUAGGUUCUGGGUUCACACAAGACCUGAAUCAGGAACAAGGGCUAUUAGCUCAGGUGGUUAGAGCGCACCUCUGAUAAGGGUGAGGUCCCUGGUUCGAGUCCAGGAUGGCCCACCUGCACAGGUGGCAAAAACAAGAGAAGCUCCGAAUCAGCACCUUAUCUUACUUAUACAGUAAGAGAGAAUGCUGGCUCUGAGUUCAGAGUUCAGAGGAACCUUGAAAACUGCAUAGAGCUAGGUGAAAAAGCCAAAAAAGAAGACCGCAA
rnacentral:tRNA from 1 species